rnacentral:misc_RNA from 1 species
GAAAUGCGAUAAGUAAUGUGAAUUGCAGAAUUCAGUGAAUCAUCGAAUCUUUGAACGCACCUUGCGCUCCUUGGUAUUCCUUGGAGCAUGCCUGUUUGAGUAUCAUGAAAUCUUCAAAGUAAAUCUUUUGUUAACUCAAUUGGUUUCUACUUUGGUAUUGGAGGUCUUUGCAGCUUCACACCUGCUCCUCUUUGUUCAUUAGCUGGAUCUCAGUGUUAUGCUUGGUUCCACUCGGCGUGAUAAGUUAUCUAUCGCUGAGGACACUGUAAAAGGUGGCCAAGGUAAAUGCAGAUGAACCGCUUCUAAUAGUCCAUUGACUUGGACAAUACUUUUAUGAUCUGAUCUCAAAUCAGGUAGGACUACCGGCUGAACUUAAGC